rnacentral:misc_RNA from 1 species
GUAGGUGAACCUGCGGAAGGAUCAUUAACACGUAUCCACGUAUCAAAACCCCUCUGUGCAAACCUCUACGUAAGGCUUGAUUGGAGUUGUAUUCACUCGAUCUUAAUGAUGGGAGUCUGCUCUUUCGAGAGGGGACCCGGGAUCUAUGAGUGUUUACCGCGUUUGACAAUCGGGCCGCUAUUUUUCCAUCGUUAGCCCUUUAUAACUUUUAAACCCCUUGUACUUUUUUGUACUGAACCAAUUCUUCGAG